CUACGGGAGGCAGCAGUGGGGAAUAUUGCACAAUGGAGGAAACUCUGAUGCAGCAACGCCGCGUGGAGGAUGACACUUUUCGGAGCGUAAACUCCUUUUAUAUAGGAAGUAGAUGACGGUACUAUAUGAAUAAGCGCCGGCUAACUCCGUGCCAGCAGCCGCGGUAAUACGGAGGGCGCAAGCGUUACUCGGAAUCACUGGGCGUAAAGAGCGUGUAGGCGGAUUAAAAAGUCAGAAGUGAAAUCCUAUAGCUUAACUAUAGAACUGCUUCUGAAACUCUUAAUCUAGAAUAUGGGAGAGGUAGAUGGAAUUACUGGUGUAGGGGUAAAAUCCGUAGAGAUCAGAAGGAAUACCGAUUGCGAAGGCGAUCUACUAGAACAUUAUUGACGCUGAGACGCGAAAGCGUGGGGAGCAAACAGGAUUAGAUACCCCUGUAGUC
rnacentral:rRNA from 1 species